UAGGGAGUCUUCCACAAUGGACGCAAGUCUGAUGGAGCAACGCCGCGUGAGUGAAGAAGGUCUUCGGAUCGUAAAACUCUGUUGUUAGAGAGAACACGAGUGAGAGUAACUGUUCAUUCGAUGACGGUAUCUAACCAGCAAGUCACGGCUAACUACGCGCCAG
rnacentral:rRNA from 1 species